rnacentral:rRNA from 1 species
GGGCGUAAGAGCUCGUAGGCGGCCUGUCGCGUCGGAUGUGAAAGCCCGGGGCUUAACCCCGGGUCUGCAUUCGAUACGGGCAGGCUAGAGUUCGGUAGGGGAGAUCGGAAUUCCUGGUGUAGCGGUGAAAUGCGCAGAUAUCAGGAGGAACACCGGUGGCGAAGGCGGAUCUCUGGGCCGAUACUGACGCUGAGGAGCGAAAGCGUGGGGAGCGAACAGGAUUAGAUACCCUGGUAGUCCACGCCGUAAACGUUGGGAACUAGGUGUGGGCGACAUUCCACGUCGUCCGUGCCGCAGCUAACGCAUUAAGUUCCCCGCCUGGGGAGUACGGCCGCAAGGCUAAAACUCAAAGGAAUUGACGGGGGCCCGCACAAGCGGCGGAGCAUGUGGCUUAAUUCGACGCAACGCGAAGAACCUUACCAAGGCUUGACAUACACCGGUAACUGGCAGAGAUGUCAGCCCCCUUGUGGUCGGUGUACAGGUGGUGCAUGGUUGUCGUCAGCUCGUGUCGUGAGAUGUUGGGUUAAGUCCCGCAACGAGCGCAACCCUUGUUCUGUGUUGCCAGCGAGUUAUGUCGGGGACUCACAGGAGACUGCCGGGGUCAACUCGGAGGAAGGUGGGGACGACGUCAAAUCAUCAUGCCCCUUAUGUCUUGGGCUGCACACGUGCUACAAUGGCCGGUACAAUGGGCUGCGAUACCGUGAGGUGGAGCGAAUCCCAAAAAGCCGGUCUCAGUUCGGGAUUGGGGUCUGCAACUCGACCCCAUGAAGUCGGAGUCGCUAGUAAUCGCAGAUCAGCAUGCUGCGGUGAUACGUUCCCGGGCUUGUACACACCGCCCGUC